CCUACGGGAGGCAGCAGUGAGGAAUAUUGGUCAAUGGACGAGAGUCUGAACCAGCCAAGUAGCGUGAAGGAUGACUGCCCUAUGGGUUGUAAACUUCUUUUAUAUGGGAAUAAAGCGAUCCACGUGUGGCUUUUUGUAUGUACUAUAUGAAUAAGGAUCGGCUAACUCCGUGCCAGCAGCCGCGGUAAUACGGAGGAUGCGAGCGUUAUCCGGAUUUAUUGGGGUUAAAGGGUGCGUAGAGGGGUUGUUAAGUCAGGGGUGAAAGUUUGCGGCUCAACCCCGGGAUGGCGAUUGAAACUGGCGAUCUUGAGUGGGGGUGAGGUAUGCGGAAUGCGUGGUGUAGCGGUGAAAUGCAUAGAUAUCACGAAGAACUCCGAUUGCGAAGGCAGCAUAC
rnacentral:rRNA from 1 species